rnacentral:rRNA from 1 species
AACGGGAUGGGACUAAGACAUGUUAGUCGUACGCCUCCUAGCCAUGGUGGAGGCGUGGCGCACAGCUCAGUAACACGUGGCUAACCUACCCUUGGGACGGAAACAUCCCCGGGAAACUGGGGCUAAUUUCCGAUAGGUAAAGGCUCCUGGAAUGGGCCUCUGCCUAAAAGGCGCUUGGAGCAUGCUUCUAGGCUUCGCCCAAGGAUGGGGCCGCGGCCGAUCAGGUUGUUGGUGAGGUAACGGCUCACCAAGCCUUUAACCGGUACGGGCCGUGGGAGCGGUAGCCCGGAGAUGGGCACUGAGACAAGGGCCCAGGCCCUACGGGGCGCAGCAGUUACGAAAAUUUCGCAAUACGCGAAAGCGUGACGGAGCCAUCCCGAGUGCCGUCCGCUGAGGAUGGCUUUUCCCCAGUGUAGAUAGCUGGGGGAAUAAGGAGAGGGCAAGUCUGGUGUCAGCCGCCGCGGUAAUACCAGCUCUUCGAGUGGUAGGGAUGAUUAUUGGGCCUAAAGCAUCCGUAGCUGGCCAAACAAGUUCCCUGUUAAAUCCAGCGAUUUAAUCGUUGGAUUGCGGGGAAUACUGCUUGGCUAGGGGGCGAGAGAGGCCGACGGUAUUUUCGGGGUAGGGGUGAAAUCCUAUAAUCCCGGAAAGACCACCAGUGGCGAAGGCUGUCGGCUAGAACGCGCCCGACGGUGAGGGAUGAAAGCUUGGGGAGCGAACCGGAUUAGAUACCCGGGUAGUCCAAGCUGUAAACGAUGCAGGCUAGGUGUUAGAACGGCCACGUGCCGCUCUAGUGCCGCAGGGAAGCUGUUAAGCCUGCCGCCUGGGGAGUACGGCCGCAAGGCUGAAACUUAAAGGAAUUGGCGGGGGAGCACCACAAGGCGUGAAGCUUGCGGUUUAAUU